AUUUGUGCUGCCAUCUUUGCACACCAGACAUCAGAAUAAAACCUGCAGUGAUGAUGCUGUGGAAUCUAAUUGGAUUUUAGGAACAGAAGCCAUGAUGUUUGGGCCAGCCAAUAUCUAAAAUGGAAGUCUGGAAGCAGUUCUGUCUGAUGCUGCAAAAACAGAUCUGCAAGUGUGAAAUCAGUAGGCUGCGAGGACAGUCAAGUAUAUCCACUGACUCCAAGGUCUGUAUCGCACCUGGAGGCCCUUCCGUGUGCACAGAUGGCACAGACUGCCCGGGUCCGUGCAGAGCCAGGCACCUCUCCCCACUGACAGCAUCCCCACAGCUCAGCAUCCUGGUGAAAAUCCCAAAUAUGUUUGAAAAUGGAAUUACCAAA